GGCGGCAGGCUUAACACAUGCAAGUCGAGCGCCCCGCGAGGGGAGCGGCAGACGGGUGAGUAACGCGUGGGGAUGUACCCAAAGGUGCGGAAUAACUCAGGGAAACUUGAGCUAAUACCGCAUGUGCCCGAGAGGGGAAAGAUUUAUCGCCUUUGGAUCAACCCGCGUCAGAUUAGCUAGUUGGUAGGGUAACGGCCUACCAAGGCGACGAUCUGUAGCUGGUCUGAGAGGAUGAUCAGCCACACUGGGACUGAGACACGGCCCAGACUCCUACGGGAGGCAGCAGUGGGGAAUAUUGGACAAUGGGCGCAAGCCUGAUCCAGCCAUGCCGCGUGAGUGAUGACGGCCUUAGGGUUGUAAAGCUCUUUUAACAGGGACGAUAAUGACGGUACCUGUAGAAUAAGCCCCGGCUAACUUCGUGCCAGCAGCCGCGGUAAUACGAAGGGGGCUAGCGUUGUUCGGAAUCACUGGGCGUAAAGCGCACGUAGGCGGAUUGUUAAGUCGGGGGUGAAAUCCUGAGGCUCAACCUCAGAACUGCCUUCGAUACUGGCGAUCUUGA
rnacentral:rRNA from 1 species